GUGACUGCGUACCUUUUGUAUAAUGGGUCAGCGACUUAUAUUCUGUAGCAAGGUUAACCGAAUAGGGGAGCCGAAGGGAAACCGAGUCUUAACUGGGCGUUAAGUUGCAGGGUAUAGACCCGAAACCCGGUGAUCUAGCCAUGGGCAGGUUGAAGGUUGGGUAACACUAACUGGAGGACCGAACCGACUAAUGUUGAAAAAUUAGCGGAUGACUUGUGGCUGGGGGUGAAAGGCCAAUCAAACCGGGAGAUAGCUGGUUCUCCCCGAAAGCUAUUUAGGUAGCGCCUCGUGAAUUCAUCUCCGGGGGUAGAGCACUGUUUCGGCAAGGGGGUCAUCCCGACUUACCAACCCGAUGCAAACUGCGAAUACCGGAGAAUGUUAUCACGGGAGACACACGGCGGGUGCUAACGUCCGUCGUGAAGAGGGAAACAACCCAGACCGCCAGCUAAGGUCCCAAAGUCAUGGUUAAGUGGGAAACGAUGUGGGAAGGCCCAGACAGCCAGGAUGUUGGCUUAGAAGCAGCCAUCAUUUAAAGAAAGCGUAAUAGCUCACUGGUCGAGUCGGCCUGCGCGGAAGAUGUAACGGGGCUAAACCAUGCACCGAAGCUGCGGCAGCGACACUGUGUGUUGUUGGGUAGGGGAGCGUUCUGUAAGCCUGUGAAGGUGUGCUGUGAGGCAUGCUGGAGGUAUCAGAAGUGCGAAUGCUGACAUAAGUAACGAUAAAGCGGGUGAAAAGCCCGCUCGCCGGAAGACCAAGGGUUCCUGUCCAACGUUAAUCGGGGCAGGGUGAGUCGACCCCUAAGGCGAGGCCGAAAGGCGUAGUCGAUGGGAAACAGGUUAAUAUUCCUGUACUUGGUGUUACUGCGAAGGGGGGACGGAGAAGGCUAUGUUGGCCGGGCGACGGUUGUCCCGGUUUAAGCGUGUAGGCUGGUUUUCCAGGCAAAUCCGGAAAAUCAAGGCUGAGGCGUGAUGACGAGGCACUACGGUGCUGAAGCAACAAAUGCCCUGCUUCCAGGAAAAGCCUCUAAGCAUCAGGUAACAUAGAUCCGUACCCCAAACCGACACAGGUGGUCAGGUAGAGAAUACCAAGGCGCUUGAGAGAACUCGGGUGAAGGAACUAGGCAAAAUGGUGCCGUAACUUCGGGAGAAGGCACGCUGAUAUGUAGGUGAAGUCCCUCGCGGAUGGAGCUGAAAUCAGUCGAAGAUACCAGCUGGCUGCAACUGUUUAUUAAAAACACAGCACUGUGCAAACACGAAAGUGGACGUAUACGGUGUGACGCCUGCCCGGUGCCGGAAGGUUAAUUGAUGGGGUCAGCGCAAGCGAAGCUCUUGAUCGAAGCCCCGGUAAACGGCGGCCGUAACUAUAACGGUCCUAAGGUAGCGAAAUUCCUUGUCGGGUAAGUUCCGACCUGCACGAAUGGCGUAAUGAUGGCCAGGCUGUCUCCACCCGAGACUCAGUGAAAUUGAACUCGCUGUGAAGAUGCAGUGUACCCGCGGCAAGACGGAAAGACCCCGUGAACCUUUACUAUAGCUUGACACUGAACAUUGAGCCUUGAUGUGUAGGAUAGGUGGGAGGCUUUGAAGUGUGGACGCCAGUCUGCAUGGAGCCGACCUUGAAAUACCACCCUUUAAUGUUUGAUGUUCUAACGUGGACCCGUGAUCCGGGUUGCGGACAGUGUCUGGUGGGUAGUUUGACUGGGGCGGUCUCCUCCUAAAGAGUAACGGAGGAGCACGAAGGUUGGCUA
rnacentral:rRNA from 1 species